AGAGUUUGAUCCUGGCUCAGAACGAACGCUGGCGGCGUGGAUAAGACAUGCAAGUCGAACGAGAGAAUUGCUAGCUUGCUAAUAAUUCUCUAGUGGCGCACGGGUGAGUAACACGUGAGUAACCUGCCCCCGAGAGCGGGAUAGCCCUGGGAAACUGGGAUUAAUACCGCAUAGUAUCGAAAGAUUAAAGCAGCAAUGCGCUUGGGGAUGGGCUCGCGGCCUAUUAGUUAGUUGGUGAGGUAACGGCUCACCAAGGCGAUGACGGGUAGCCGGUCUGAGAGGAUGUCCGGCCACACUGGAACUGAGACACGGUCCAGACACCUACGGGUGGCAGCAGUCGAGAAUCAUUCACAAUGGGGGAAACCCUGAUGGUGUGACGCCGCGUGGGGGAAUGAAGGUCUUCGGAUUGUAAACCCCUGUCAUGUGGGAGCAAAUUAAAAAGAUAGUACCACAAGAGGAAGAGACGGCUAACUCUGUGCCAGCAGCCGCGGUAAUACAGAGGUCUCAAGCGUUGUUCGGAGUCACUGGGCGUAAAGCGUGCGUAGGCUGUUUCGUAAGUCGUGUGUGAAAGGCGCGGGCUCAACCCGCGGACGGCACAUGAUACUGCGAGACUAGAGUAAUGGAGGGGGAACCGGAAUUCUCGGUGUAGCAGUGAAAUGCGUAGAUAUCGAGAGGAACACUCGUGGCGAAGGCGGGUUCCUGGACAUUAACUGACGCUGAGGCACGAAGGCCAGGGGAGCGAAAGGGAUUAGAUACCCCUGUAGUCCUGGCAGUAAACGGUGCACGCUUGGUGUGCGGGGAAUCGACCCCCUGCGUGCCGGAGCUAACGCGUUAAGCGUGCCGCCUGGGGAGUACGGUCGCAAGAUUAAAACUCAAAGAAAUUGACGGGGACCCGCACAAGCGGUGGAGUAUGUGGCUUAAUUCGAUGCAACGCGAAGAACCUUACCUGGGCUUGACAUGUAAUGAACAACAUGUGAAAGCAUGCGACUCUUCGGAGGCGUUACACAGGUGCUGCAUGGCCGUCGUCAGCUCGUGUCGUGAGAUGUUUGGUUAAGUCCAGCAACGAGCGCAACCCCUGUUGCCAGUUACCAGCACGUGAAGGUGGGGACUCUGGCGAGACUGCCCAGAUCAACUGGGAGGAAGGUGGGGACGACGUCAGGUCAGUAUGGCCCUUAUGCCCAGGGCUGCACACGUACUACAAUGCCCAGUACAGAGGGGGCCGAAGCCGCGAGGCGGAGGAAAUCCUGAAAACUGGGCCCAGUUCGGACUGUAGGCUGCAACCCGCCUACACGAAGCCGGAAUCGCUAGUAAUGGCGCAUCAGCUACGGCGCCGUGAAUACGUUCCCGGGUCUUGCACUCACCGCCCGUCA
rnacentral:rRNA from 1 species